CACGUAGGGUGCGAGCGUUGUCCGGAAUUAUUGGGCGUAAAGAGCUCGUAGGCGGUGUGUCGCGUCGGCCGUGAAAACUUGCAGCUUAACUGUGGGCGUGCGGUCGAUACGGGCAUCACUGGAGUUCGGCAGGGGAGACUGGAAUUCCUGGUGUAGCGGUGGAAUGCGCAGAUAUCAGGAGGAACACCAAUAGCGAAGGCAGCUCGCUGGGACGUUACUGACACUGAGGCGCGAAAGCGUGGGGAGCGAACAGG
rnacentral:rRNA from 1 species